GCACCGAUGGUCUAGUGGUAAGAUGCCUCCCUCCCAUUUUCAAAUGUGUCAGGUGGCGGCCCGGGUUCGAACCCCGGUCGGUGCA
rnacentral:tRNA from 1 species